AAGCGAGGAAGACAUUGGCCCAGAAUUUAACUUCAUGCUGAAGGUCUCCACAGGGAACCUCCCCAUCAGCCUGGUCUACCUCACCAUCUCUCUGCCAAUGAGCACAGUUUGGGGGAACCCUUUAUUCUCUCUGACUGGGGUGACACCAGCACCCUCUGGUAAUGUGCGCUGUGAUGUGAAUGAGGUGGUCAACUCACUGAAGACAGGCAGGACUCUCCAUUCACCCACCU
rnacentral:lncRNA from 1 species